rnacentral:rRNA from 1 species
GCGUGGCUUCCGGAGCUAACGCGUUAAGUAGACCGCCUGGGGAGUACGGCCGCAAGGUUAAAACUCAAAUGAAUUGACGGGGGCCCGCACAAGCGGUGGAGCAUGUGGUUUAAUUCGAUGCAACGCGAAGAACCUUACCUGGUCUUGACAUCCACAGAACUUUCCAGAGAUGGAUUGGUGCCUUCGGGAACUGUGAGACAGGUGCUGCAUGGCUGUCGUCAGCUCGUGUUGUGAAAUGUUGGGUUAAGUCCCGCAACGAGCGCAACCCUUAUCCUUUGUUGCCAGCGGUUAGGCCGGGAACUCAAAGGAGACUGCCAGUGAUAAACUGGAGGAAGGUGGGGAUGACGUCAAGUCAUCAUGGCCCUUACGACCAGGGCUACACACGUGCUACAAUGGCGCAUACAAAGAGAAGCGACCUCGCGAGAGCAAGCGGACCUCAUAAAGUGCGUCGUAGUCCGGAUUGGAGUCUGCAACUCGACUCCAUGAAGUCGGAAUCGCUAGUAAUCGUGGAUCAGAAUGCCACGGUGAAUACGUUCCCGGGCCUUGUACACACCGCCCGUCACACCAUGGGAGUGGGUUGCAAAAGAAGUAGGUAGCUUAACCUUCGGGAGGGCGCUUACCACUUUGUGAUUCAUGACUGGGGUGAAGUCGUAACAAGGUAACCGUAGGGGAACCUGCGGUUGGAUCACCUCCUUACCUUAAAGAAGC